rnacentral:tRNA from 1 species
GGAGACGUAUCGAAGCGGUCAUAACGGGGCUGACUCGAAAUCAGUUUGCCAGCAAUGGCACGUGGGUUCGAAUCCCACCGUCUCCGCCA